GGGGUUGUGGCUCAGUGGUAGAGCACUUGCCUGGCAUGUAUGAGGCACUGGGUUCCACCCUCAGCACCACA
rnacentral:tRNA from 1 species